AGCGCAGGCGGGAAGACAAGUUGGAAGUGAAAUCCAUGGGCUCAACCCAUGAACUGCUUUCAAAACUGUUUUUCUUGAGUAGUGCAGAGGUAGGUGGAAUUCCCGGUGUAGCGGUGGAAUGCGUAGAUAUCGGGAGGAACACCAGUGGCGAAGGCGACCUACUGGGCACCAACUGACGCUGAGGCUCGAAAGCAUGGGUAGCAAACA
rnacentral:rRNA from 1 species